UACGUAGGGGGCUAGCGUUAUCCGGAAUUAUUGGGCGUAAAGAGCUCGUAGGCGGUUUGUCGCGUCUGCCGUGAAAGUCCGGGGCUCAACUCCGGAUCUGCGGUGGGUACGGGCAGACUAGAGUGAUGUAGGGGAGACUGGAAUUCCUGGUGUAGCGGUGAAAUGCGCAGAUAUCAGGAGGAACACCAAUGGCGAAGGCAGCUCGCUGGGACGGUACUGACGCUGAGGCGCGAAAGCGUGGGGAGCAAACAGG
rnacentral:rRNA from 1 species